UGAUGGUGGAAAACUGGUUUUAAAUAUAGAAAAUCGCACUCUCCGCAGCGUGGUGCGCGGAGUUGGCUUUUGAUUCGCCGUUUUUUCGCUGUUUUUAUUUUGCUGGUGAUUUUCAUCACGAGCCGAGUGGCGAGUGAGUGGAACAGCUGGACCGAGGGUGCCAGACAUGGGGCGGAGCAGGCAGCAGGGAGCGUCGUGUGUGCGAAAAGAGCAGCUCAAAUUGGAUGGACGCGCAGCGCAGUGUUUUUAGCGAAAAAAAAGAUACGUUAAAGAAAGGUUGGAAGAGAAGGAAGGAAGGUGCAAGGUGGGCAGCAGUUCAAAUGCGAAGAAAAGAAUGGAGCGAGUAAUGAACGAUUAGCGAUCGGAGAGGGAGGCGGCCGCACGAGGAGACCAGGAGGGAAGAGCGAAAGAAAGAGGAUUGGCAGUGUGGGAGCAGUAGGCAUGGAAACAGGAGAGUGGAAACAUGGAAUAAGCGCAGCUUGUAGCUAUUGACGAUGAUGAUUAAUCUGUACGCUUUAUGAGAUUUGUUUUAUUUAUUUUACAGGCAAAGGUAUUCCAAGGGGAAAGUAGUCGUUGGUUCGAGGAAUGAGAAAGAAAAAAACAUUCAGAGCAACCCAAUUGUACGUACCGUGAAGCUAUCGGCCAAUUAUUUCUGCAUCGGCCUAGUUAUUAUAGGACCUGAGAGGCGAGUUGCGUCUUAUUACAAAACCUUCGGGAGAUUCCCUGGAACCGGUUCGUAAAUUAGGUGCCAUGAUCUCAGCGUGCUGCAAGGCUGCACAGAUGUUGUAAAAUUAACGAGACCGACCAUUGGCCAGAUUAUGAUCUAUAACGCAAACUAUCGCUUCCUGCAACUAACAGCAGCGUUCCAGUUGCAUUUUGAUGCUCUGGUGCUGAGUGUGGUGCUCUGUUGAUCAAAGGCAGGACAAUCGAAAAAAACAGGAACAUAAAAUCUUCGCUCUGAAUUCCUGGACAUGGAUUUUAAAACUUGUUCGAUCGUUUGAGUGCCCCGAAAGACUGCAAAAUAAGACGUCGAUACUCCGGAAAACUGACUAAAAAUUGACGGUAAUGAAAGAAAUAAUGAAAAAAGGAAAUUUAUUAGAAGGAAUGCCUUCUAGACAUGUUACAGUCUUUGGUUUAUUCGCCCCCUUAAU